rnacentral:misc_RNA from 1 species
AGUAGAGAUCAUAAGCUUCAAAUUUCAAAAGCAUUAGAGUACCUAAAUUGGUAUAUGCCGCAGAAUGAAGUGGAUCAAGCGUAAAAUAAACAGUAGAACAAGAAAAAAUGUAAGUAGAUGUACUAGAACAAGAAAAAUUGCAAUAGACGCACUGAUAAUUCUUAUAUGUUUAACUGCUCAGAAAAUGUCUAAUUGGUAUGACAUCUACAAAUGUAUAACCUUGCAUCUCAGUCGGCAGGUAGGCAUUUGAGUGACUAUGAAACCUUUCUGCCUGUCAUCAGUAAAUAAUUAUCUACAAAGCUGAUUAAAUAUGGUGUCAUAUGUGUUACUCGAAACUGUCACCGGAUAUUAGUCAUUGCCAUGGAAGCCCCCUCUUCUUGAACUGGGCAUUGGGUCAUCUGUUAAGCAAUCAAAAUAGUAAGAUUGAUGUGAACCGAAAGUGAAAAAAUGAUCCUCAGAGAAAUUACCAGAUACAAAAAAUUUUAUCAGGACAACAUGCUGUACAUUUUUGCUCCAAAGACGUGAUCCUCUAAUUUUACUAGUAGGAUAAGCAAAAUAAGAGGGCCCAUAUCUUUAAGAAGCUCCAAAGAACCAAGAAGCCAUCUUUUUCUUUUUUUGUUUUUUUUCCCUCUCCAUCUAUGAUGCAUGACAGCCCGCAGGUCUUAGAAUUGAUGUUUUAGUUAUAAUAAGGAAGAAGGGGAAUUAUCUUAUACAAAAUGCUCCAAACAACAGGUAACUCGAGGAGAAUCAAAUUUAAAGGCUAAAAGGUCCAAAUUGCCCCUUAAACUUUAAUGUUUAAUCUGAUAGUCAAAUAGGCCCUUGAUUUUCAAUAGUAGUCAAUUGGGCUCUUCAUAAUUUAAUUUCGGCUAAAUAAGUCCAAAAUUAAUGACGUGAACUAACAGUGUUAAAAAAAUUAAUAAAGUUUGUAAUGAAUGAAAUAUUAAUUUCAUCUUAUUUUUUUGUAAAUGAUUAAUUAGACAUUUGUUUCAUCAAAUAAGAGCACAUGACUGAAAUUGGGUUCAACUGAACCAAAAUUGAAAUACAAAGGGUCUAGUUGAUCCCACUUGAAAUUUGAAGGGUUUGAUUGACUGUAAUUGACUGCAAGGAUUUAUUUUGACUAUCGGACUAAAGUUAAUAGACCAAUUUGGGCAUUUGGCCCAAAUUUAAAUGCUCAAGAAACCUAGAAUCAUGGACCUCAAUUUUUUUAUAUCGAAGUUGUUUGUAGCAUUAUUGAGUACCUCAAUUUUUUUAUAUCGAAGUUGUUUGUAGCAUUAUUGAGUACUUGAAGUUAUUGGAGUCGCACAAGCUUGUUUGUCCAAUAUAUUACAACUUCAAGAUUUAGAUGCAUUUUGUAACUUCCAACUUUACUGGAAUAAGCUGGCAGACCUUUAUAAACUUUAGUUUUAUAUGCGAGUACAAAAAUUCUUACAGGAUUAAGGCUUCUAGCAGUUUAAUUUUAAGGUAAGUUGAAACUAUCUUUUUCAAUUUUGUGAACUAGCAAUUAUCUUCCCUCCCUGAUCAGUUUCUUGUUAUUUAACAAUUGCUAUUGUAGCAUCAAGUUAUUAGGGAUCAUAAUCGUAAAAAGUAGCAUUAUUCAAAUAUUUGACUGUCUGAUUUUGGGAGCUUUUUGAGGUUUUGGAAGCUUUGGAUACCAAAAGAAUUGCCUCAAUGUUAUUGCGUAGUUCAAGCUUUUGUUUUGUUUUGUUGUGUUUUCAUUUUCAUUUUAUUGCUACUUGCUUAUUGAAUUUAGGAGCUAAGAUGAUAAUUAUGAGUAGGGAUUCUAGAACAAUUAACUCUGUCCAAAGAAAUUAGUUAAAUUUUGCAUUUUAUCUUCCAGAAACUAGAAUCACAAAUUAUAUAUUUGAAUGCUAGAAACACACAUGGUUACUGACUUACUGUGACAAAAUGUGAUUGCUCAUAACAAGGAUUGAGAUUAAAAGGUCAACUCACCAGACUAGAAAACAAAUCAAGAACAUGGGAACAUUUUCAGAGAAGUCAUUCCAAAUACCAUCUAAAUAGCAGAAAUAAUCCAUAAGCAAGUUUUAAGAUCUAAUAAUGUGCAACCACUCUUAAUGAAAUGAAACAGCAACAUGUAUUAUUGCUGCCAAAUAAGACUGAGGCAUAGAAGAGGAUUUCCAACUACCAAGAGACAGUUCUUCAAGCAUGGAACCAAGAUAUCAUUUAGGGGGGUGUGUAUGUGUGUGUAACAGCAAUUGGAAGUAAAAGGAGAGAAGAAAAAAGGGGAAGCCCCUACUGACUGCUUCAAAGCAUUGGGUAGGUUUAUGAACUAGAUUUGUUCAGAUUAAAAUUCAAUUUUAACCCCAAAAUUUUGGGGCAAAAUAGUUGUUCCAAUCAAUAGCCAUAUAUAGUGUUGAAUACAACUAUACCUGCACAAAAUCCCUGGUAGCAGCAGUAGUGUUUCGGAAAAAUUUUCAGCAGCAAACUACACAACAAUUUCUUAAUCAAUAACUAUGUGCAAGUCUUUCUUACCAUGAUCUUCUUCAUCUCCAUUUUGACUUGUGAAGAAAGGAGUAAGGUAAUUCCUAUCUAAUGCUGUGAAUGAUGCUGCACUCCUGUGGAAUUCUUUAAGUUUCAUUUUCAACCUGUUCCCUGAUGUGUCAUCAUCGUCAUAUGAGGGAGCAAUGUAACCAUUAUUUCCCUCAAAACUCUGAAACUGAUAAAAAGACUUAGUGAUUAACAUUCUGGUGGCAGUGUGCCCUAAUUCAAUUAUUUGCCCUCAUCAAACUAAGCAAUAUAAAAGACACUCAGUAGAAUGAAGGUAAAGUGGGAGCUGAGGUUGCUGCAUCAUAAUGAGAGCGCCAUAAGAGCAUUUCACGUUCAGAUCCACAAAUAUUCUUGCGAAAAAUAUUGAAUGCAACAUCUUCAUUGGCAUUAGGGAAAAUCUCAAGUCUCAACACAUGAUUUAAAAAAUUUCGAUAGUUCCCCAAACAGAAAGCAAUUAUUUUAUCAUAAAUGAUCCUAGAAAAGACAGCAAAUGAGCAAUAUUGUGCAUGAAUGAUAGGGAUAGGCUCAUACUGACUCAGAUCAGGUAGUUAACAACAAUAGCCUGGUUCCUUUAAGGUUAAAUAUGCUGAGGCUAGAGCAGGAAUCAGUUGAGUGAUGACUCCAAUGACCUCUCCUCUCCAUUUUUGAAGUGUCACCCAACUCACACAAUGUAGGGACUUGCUUUUUUAAAAAUGAUCAAAUUUAUAGUGUAAGAGGCAAGAUGCUAAAAUCCCAUAUCAGAUAGCAACCAACAUAAGUUGAUCGCAGUGUUGACUGAAGCUUUUGGGUUAGGAAGUGCACAUUGCAUGUAUAUGGAAUUCUUCUCACCUAUACAAGCCAACCUGAUUCCCUAGACUUAUAAGCUCCUCGUCAUAACAGGAACUGUACAUAUUCCACAAUCCCAACUAUUGGUUGAAAUUUUAAGUGUAAUUAUUAGUAGAUAAAAUGUAUUUUUUACACAUUUGUGGGAUAUAAAUUUCACAUGUAAGCAAAUAAUAAAUAUUCCAAUCAAAACUAUUUUAUUCCUACUCUUCCAUUUCAAGAACCAAAUGAGGCCUUUGUUCCAUAAAUAGAUAAUAUAAUUUCACUGAAUUAAAAGAGAUAGGAUAAAAGAAAAUAAUCUAUUUUUAGCAGAAAUUACUUCUCUCAUGGAGCCAUCAUGGCCAUCUCCAACAACUUGUAAAGCUUCCAGCAUGGUACCAGUUGAACCCCCAAUUAGCAACACCGUCAAUACAACUAUAGCAGUGGUUGCAGUAAAUAUGGUUUGGCCAUGUCCUUCUGGAAGAUCAUGAAUCGAUUGCAAAGCAAGGGCAAAAGCCAUAGCCCCUCGAAGUCCACUGUACCAAAGUGCUUUCUGAUGUUUUAAAGGUAUAUGACGAUGUGCAGGUCGAACCAAAUUGACCAAAUAUGCACAAGAAAAGACAUUUGCUGCCCUAAAAAGAUUUAUUACACAAGUAGAUUAAUAGUUUCAGAAUAUAACAGCACACACCAAGAUUUGGAAAACAUUAAAAUAACAGAAGAUAUAGGUCUCAUAUUAGCAAUGAAACAGAUUGCACAUAAUUGAAACUCCAACCUUGCAACUCCAAUGAAUAACUGCAAUAGUCAUAAAGGAGGUUAAGGAAUAACAGCCAAAAGUCUCAUGUUAAAAUUGUUGCUUAAAAAAAAAUUCUGCAAGGAUACAAUUGAGAAAAAGAUAAAUCCAACAUGGGACCAGCUAUGUUGUUCCAUUGCAAUAUCAAACCCCAUGUAUAUAAAUACAAAUGUUUCAGCUAGUGAUGAUAUUAGGUGAAAAAAUGCAGAAACAAAUCGCUGAGAGUUUUCUGACAAAUUUGAAUAGGAAUAGUGCUUCAUGACUAUUCCAGUGAACAAUAUCGACACGAUACCAGAGAGGCCAAGACCUUCAGCAAGCAUGUAUGAGAAAUAUGGAAAAAGAACAAAAAGGCAACACUCCAAGUUUUGAAGGCUGUAGACAAUGGCAUAAAUAUUACAUUUGAAAAAAUCAGUGCACUAUAAAUAACCAGAAAUUUGGCACGCAAAAAAUAAUUAACAAGUACUCACUUGUCAAUAUCCAAACCAGCAUACUUGAAAAGGUUCAAGGAAUUAAGGUUUCACAUAACAUUUCAACAUCUAAAAAUAAUAAAGAAUGAAUAAAUAGAAAAGGAUAUCAAUGCAGAAGUAAAUCCAACUCCCACACCAGCAGACAUUGAACCAACAAAUGUCUCAAGAAAUCUGAGAAUCAACAUGAAGAAAUUUGAUCCAGAUGACGCAUGACUUUUCACCAAGGACAUUGUCCUGCAACGCAAACACUGCUUAAUUUAAAACUGAAUUUUUAAUCGUUUUGAAUCUGCUGACAUCAAAUGCAGAAAUUUUACAUACCUGUACAAGGAUAUUGCCAUCUACCAAUUUCGCAACAUACAAAAACAUCACCAUCAUCCAGCGAAUUUAGUCUCAUAUUAAAUGAAUGAAACAUGCAGUUACUAAAAACGGUGAAACAACUGAAUACAACAACUAAAGCUUACUGCAUCAUUCAAGACAGAUUCUCCAAACACCAAAGCAUAAAGGUUCAUAUCUGUGCCAAGUUCCUGGAAUAUGGAUAAAACAGUGACAGGAUCUGUUGCUGAUAUUAGAGCACCAAACAUCAGACACUCAACAAAAGGAAGCCUAUACAUCAGGUACACAAGACCACCAACAUAAACCAGAAAACCUGUAACAAUUGAGGCUAUAAAGGUUCCUAGGAUAGCAAAUGUGACAAUGGCUCCAAAAUUAGAAAAGAAAGGUUUAGGUGAUAAACUGAACCCAGACUCAAAUAUAAUAGGAGGGAGCAGAAACAGGAAGAAAAACUCCUCAUGGAAAUUAAACCAAGCCCUGAUGCUUGUUUCUGUAUCUGAAAUGUUAGCGAGUCCACCAACAAUUAGACCAAUAAGAAGAGAAGCACUGGCUUCGGGCAGAUAAUAGAAUUUGUAACGGCGAAGAACGUGACCAAGGAUGAAGGAAAGAACAAGCAUCAUGAUCUGAAGGAGUAUGCCCACUCCGGCCGCUUGUUGGUCCUUUCCUGGAUGUGAAUCACUCGGAGAAAUUUGGAGUUCCUCCAUACCAAUCGUGCUCAUUUUGUCUUCUUCUUUGUUAGACCACAACACAGACACAAGGAGUUUCAGGAAUCCCUGUUAUUCAGUAAUGAGAAAACAUGAUCAAACAUCCAUCAGUUUUCCUCCAUGAUGCUUGUUUCUUCUUCCGUUGCUUCUUCAUUUUUCAAUGGGCUUUUCUUUAGCCCAUUCUAAUAAAAUCCACGUCGAC